rnacentral:lncRNA from 1 species
CAGACAUCUGCUGAGAAGCAACACGAUGAGGAAUCUUCACGGCCCCCAUCUCACCAUGUCAAGAAACUACGAAGAAUCGCUGCUGACCAGGCCCCCAGCUAGUCUGUGAAUUCUUCCCAGGUGUGUCUUCAUCUGGAUUGUGGUGGAUCUACUCUCUAAGACUUUGCCUAUGUCUAGAAUAAGGAGAGGAGACCUGGAAGAACUGCAAGUUUAAACUCAAGAGUUACUGAGAAUACAGAAAAUACCUGCAGAGCUGGGAAGCCAAUGGGAAUACAGAAAAGCUUGCAGAAUUGAAGAAUCCUGAAAACCCCAAGUGCUUUCAAUCCAGACCCAGGCUCCCAGGGGGACACUGUGAUGGCACUCACUCCAACAGUUCCCUAGCAAAGGUCUCCAAGCUGGUCUCCUGGAGAAUGUUCCCUUCUUGGAAAGCUGCAGCUAAUGAAACUAAAAUAAAUGAUAAAAGGAUAUUUGAUUCUCAGAAAUCCCGUUUUCAGUCAAUGUGGCUAGAAUACAUGCAUUUAAUAAAGUAAAG